CAGUAGCCACGGUAAUACGAAGGGUGCAAGCGUUAAUCGGAAUUACUGGGCGUAAAGCGUGCGUAGGCGGUUUGUUAAGUCUGCUGUGAAAUCCCCGGGCUCAACCUGGGAAUGGCAGUGGAUACUGGCAAGCUAGAGUGUGUCAGAGGAUGGUGGAAUUCCCGGUGUAGCGGUGAAAUGCGUAGAGAUCGGGAGGAACAUCAGUGGCGAAGGCGGCCAUCUGGGACAACACUGACGCUGAGGCACGAAAGCGUGGGGAGCAAACAGGAUUAGAUACCCCUGUAGUCCCUGUCUCUUAUAC
rnacentral:rRNA from 1 species